GGUCACGGUGCCGCCUUGAAUUACAAUUCCGAUCGAGCGCGAGCUGAAUCCUUUGCAGACGACUUAAAUACGCGACGGGUAUUGUAAGGGGUAGAGUGGCCUUGCUGCCACGAUCCUCUGAGAUUCACCCUUUGUCGCUCCGAUUCGU
rnacentral:ncRNA from 1 species